rnacentral:lncRNA from 1 species
GCUUCAAGUAACUUGGUUAUCUGACUUUCAAUUUCACGUUCAUCAGGAAUGGAACAUCUAUAAGGUUUCUUUGAAAUGUAUUUAUUUUCUAAGAGUUUAAUGCGAGCUUCCUGAUUUUUUACUUCUCCUACAUCGUACUUGUGUUUUGCAAAUAUCGAUAAGUUUUCAUC